rnacentral:lncRNA from 1 species
CCGACGCUGAGGAGGCUCCGCGGCCGCGCUCGGCGCCCCUAUCCCGUACUCUCCCGCCCCGUCCCUUUCCCGUCCCGCUCCGCUCCCGCCCCGCUCGGUCCCGCGGUGCCGUGGCGAUGCUGUCGGGGCUGCGGCGGUUCCUCCCCCGGAAACGGCACAGGGCGGCAGAUACAACGUCAGGCUCUGCAGGAGCCCUGGGCCUCACUUAGGGCUUCCUGUGGAGCAUGAAGUGCUGCUGCUGCCGGGAGAGAGAAAUCCUUUGGGAAGCUGGGAUACAAACAGCAACUCUGUGAAUUGCUCAGCUUUUCAUAGGUAAGAGCAGGUUUUAGGGAAGAAACCCCUCUAGUGAGUAAUCAGAACAGAAAGGUGGAAGCCAGGAGUCUUUGACUUCCGCAGUGCACGUAAUUUUCUUGUGCUCCUCUCUUUCAGGACAGGGAAGAUCAUUGACUUGGGCCCAGCGAUGCCAAAUGCGUUGGGGUGUGAGCAGCCAAAGGCAACAGGCUCCAGCCCCGCUGACCAGCACUGGGGGCACCUGGUCCUGCCCGUGGGGUGGGUUUGGCAGGGCUGGGACAAGGAGGACUCGUGCGAGCACCUCCAGAGACAGUGGGAACAGGAGCAUGCUACGGAGAAGGAAAAUUCCAGGUGAUGGGUGCUGAGCAAUUUGUCCUUCCCUUGCCCUGUGCUCUGCACUUAGUUAUGGGUCAGCUGCAGAAAUUUCCUGGGGACCCUGGGAAAUGAUCCCUGGUCUGCUGAAAAGUGGGAGAAUCCUGCUGUCAAAAUGCAGCCCCUGAGGGGGGGCCCAAAAGAGCAGGACCUGGGUAUACAAGCGUGGGAGAAACAAGGGAGAGAGCAAUGUCUGGGUCAUCCUCUGCGUCCAGGAGGGAGAGCACCAGCAAAGGCCAUGGACUAAACCACUGAAGUGCUGUUGCCCAGGGAGCCCCUGCACAGCAGUGAACUUCCUUCUGCACUUGCUGUCCCUUUCCCAGCGGAGCUGAAGCAUCAGGUGCAAGUGUUGCAGGGAUGGAGCUGCCAAGGACAAACUGGGAGGGUGUUUGCGAAGCAAGGGGGUAGAAUGAAGUCUUCACUUGCUUUAUUUACCUCAUUCCACAGAAUUGGCACGAGAGGAAAUACCUCAGAGGGGCUUACCUCCAAAUAAGCCCUGAAUAUCCCAGGAGGUUUCAGCUGGGAGAAAGAAAACCACCCUAAAAAUAGCCAGUGGGGAUCAUCAGGUUUUCCAGCCAAGGAAAACAAGGACAGCGAUGAGGGAGUACUGUUCCAAUUAAUAAUGAUUUGAUGGGAAUGAAUUCUGUAUGUUUUACAGUCCUUUUUAUUCCUGGAAUGAUUUUAAAAUUAUGGCCAAAACAACUAAUUUGGA